rnacentral:misc_RNA from 1 species
CUCUCUCUCUCUCUCUCUCUCUCCAAUGGACGUUUGCAUUUUAUGAAAAUAAAGAGAAGGUGCGAUGAUGAUGAGAUAAUAAUCUCGUUAAUCUGAUCAUUAUCAUGAGGACCAAUCCUCUAAUCCAUUCUUAAUACCACUGAGCACUCUUUCUCUUUUUUUUUUUUUAAUUCCUGGUAUAUGAUUUUGUUUGAUUAUGAUUAUUGCUGAUGAUUUUGAAUCUUUGCACUCUGUUUUUAUCACCAAUUUAGUUUCUUAAUCUUGUCAUAAUUAGAAGCAAAUUAAAAGUUAUUUUUCCCAAUAUAGUUAAUAGAAGUGGUUGUGAUUAA